CCAGAACUACGGGAAGAAAUGUAGAGCAACGGAAAACAUAUUUAUUUUCUCUGGUUUCUUACAGGGCUGGGCCAUACAGUAUGUACUCAAGAUUUAGUAGUUAAUUGACUGAUUGAACUUUAUAGAGAAGUACAGAUACAAUAUUACGGAAAUUCAGAGGAGAGAAAUUACUAACAACUUGAGCAGGUGGAAAAGCAUUGAAGCUUGGUAGAGAAGAUGGUGGAACUGUGCAGCAUUGAGACAUGUCCAGUUGGAGAGAUAUGAAGCUGGGUGAAAGUAGUACAAGAGGAGGCAACUGAAUGUACAACGGCAAAGAGAAAGAAGAAUCAGUGGAUGUGCAGAGGAAAGAGUGUGCAGGGAGGUAUGACUCAUCAAGAGGGAGCUAAAGGAUACAAAGACAGCAAACGCAGGUUAAAUUUCCUGGUGUGGGGGUGGUGGGAAUGAUAGUGGCUUGAACUACCCUACUAUAAAGUUUGGAUUUCAUCCUGUGGGUAACAGAAUGACUGAAGGUUUUUGGAGAAGGAUAUGGUGUGAUCAGAGCUGUGCUUUAGAAAGAUUAAGCUGGUGUAGAAAAAGGUUGAGAGAAGGGAAGGGAAAGAAAAGACUAAUUAGGAGGUUGUUUAAUCGUCCAGGCAAGAGGUAACUUGGGCUAGAACCAGGGAAGAGGAAGUGGGGAAUGCAAAGUAGGGGCAGACCCAAGAGAAAUUUCAGGAGGAAGCAGAAAGGAGGAUUUGAUAAUCUCUUACAUCCCUCCUCUUCUCAGGCUAGGACACAGCUCAGUAUUCAAUGCUCUCUACAAUCUGCCCCAACUACUUUGUCCAGAUUUACCUUUCCCUAAGCAUGUCAUAUGCCUCAUUCUCCAAA
rnacentral:lncRNA from 10 species